CGAAAGCCUGACGGAGCAAUACCGCGUGAGGGAGGAAGGCUCUUGGGUCGUAAACCUCUUUUCUCAGGGAAGAACACAAUGACGGUACCUGAGGAAUAAGCAUCGGCUAACUCCGUGCCAGCAGCCGCGGUAAUACGGAGGAUGCAAGCGUUAUCCGGAAUGAUUGGGCGUAAAGCGUCCGCAGGUGGCUGUGUAAGUCUGCUGUUAAAGAGUCUAGCUCAACUAGAUAAGAGCAGUGGAAACUACACGGCUAGAGUACGUUCGGGGCAGAGGGAAUUCCUGGUGUAGCGGUGAAAUGCGUAGAGAUCAGGAAGAACACCAGUGGCGAAGGCGCUCUGCUAGGCCGUAACUGACACUGAGGGACGAAAGCUAGGGGAGCG
rnacentral:rRNA from 1 species